rnacentral:rRNA from 1 species
CCUACGGGGGGCAGCAGUGAGGAAUAUUUGUCCAUGGACGCAAGUCUGAACCAGCCAUGCCGCGUGCAGGCAGACGGCUCUAUGAGUUGUAAACUGCUUUUGUACGAGGGUAAAUCCCGAUACGUGUAUCGGGUUGAAAGUAUCGUACGAAUAAGGAUCGGCUAACUCCGUGCCAGCAGCCGCGGUAAUACGGAGGAUUCCAGCGUUAUCCGGAUUUAUUGGGUUUAAAGGGUGCGUAGGCGGUUCGAUAAGUUAGAGGUGAAAUCCCGGGGCUCAACUCCGGCACUGCCUCUGAUACUGGCGGGCUAGAGUUUAGUUGCGGUAGGCGGAAUGUAUGGUGUAGCGGUGAAAUGCAUAGAGAUCAUACAGAACACCGAUUGCGAAGGCAGCAUACCGGAGCGCAACUGACGCUGAGGCACGAAAGUGCGGGUAUCGAACAGGAUUAGAUACCCGGGUAGUC